CCUACGGGUGGCAGCAGUGAGGAAUAUUGGUCAAUGGACGGAAGUCUGAACCAGCCAUGCCGCGUGCAGGAAGACGGCUCUAUGAGUUGUAAACUGCUUUUGUACAAGGGUAAACCUGAAUACGUGUAUUCAGCUGAAAGUACUGUACGAAUAAGGAUCGGCUAACUCCGUGCCAGCAGCCGCGGUAAUACGGAGGAUCCAAGCGUUAUCCGGAUUUAUUGGGUUUAAAGGGUGCGUAGGCGGAUUGAUAAGUUAGAGGUGAAAUGUGCGAGCUUAACUCGGGAACUGCCUCUAAUACUGUUGGUCUAGAGAGUAGAAGCGGUAGGCGGAAUGUAUGGUGUAGCGGUGAAAUGCUUAGAGAUCAUACAGAACACCGAUUGCGAAGGCAGCUUACCAAUCUAUAUCUGACGUUGAGGCACGAAAGCGUGGGGAGCAAACAGGAUUAGAUACCCCUGUAGUC
rnacentral:rRNA from 1 species